rnacentral:rRNA from 1 species
GCUUGUCUCAAAGAUUAAGCCAUGCAUGUCUAAGUAUAAACAAAUCUAUACUGUGAAACUGCGAAUGGCUCAUUAUAUCAGUUAUAGUUUAUUUGAUGGUCCUUGCUACUUGGAUAACCGUAGUAAUUCUAGAGCUAAUACAUGCAUUAAACCCCGACUUCUGGAAGGGGUGUAUUUAUUAGAUGGAAACCAAUGCGGGGUAACCCGGAAUAUGGUGAUUCAUAAUAACUUUCGGAUCGAUUUAUCGAUGCAUCAUUCAAGUUUCUGCCCUAUCAGCUUUGGAUGGUAGGGUAUUGGCCUACCAUGGCUUUAACGGGUAACGGGGAAUCAGGGUUCGAUUCCGGAGAGGGAGCCUUAAAAACGGCUACCACAUCCAAGGAAGGCAGCAGG